AAGUAUGCAUGUGCUCAUCUGUGAAGUAAACUUCUCACGAGAAAGUGAUCAGUUGAUAUUUAGGCUGAAGAUAACUGGCCCUGUCUUCAGUGUGAAAAGAAUGACUCAGAGACAGAUUGUCUCAAGUGCCGUCUCCCACUGACUGGGGAGAAAAUGUGUGCAUGAUGGCCCUAAACACGUCUUGGUUUUGCUGAUGAGCUCCUCCUAGCAAGACAGAUAAAGCACAUUACAAGUGCACUCACUUGAAGAAGUACUGCAGAAGCACUGUAGCAAUUAUAAUGAUAAC
rnacentral:lncRNA from 1 species